CCUACGUGAGGCAGCAGUGAGGAAUAUUGGUCAAUGGACGCAAGUCUGAACCAGCCAUGCCGCGUGCAGGAAGACGGCUCUAUGAGUUGUAAACUGCUUUUGUACGAGAGUAAGCGCACUUACGCGUAUCUCUCUGAAAGUAUCGUACGAAUAAGGAUCGGCUAACUCCGUGCCAGCAGCCGAGGUAAUACGGAGGAUUCGAGCGUUAUCCGGAUUUAUUGGGUGUAAAGGGUGCGUAGGCGGUCGGAUAAGUUAGAGGUGAAAUGCCGAGGCUCAACUUCGGUAUUGACUCUGAUACUGGUCGGCUAGAGAGUAGUUGCGGUAGGCGGAAUGUAUGGUGUAGCGGUGAAAUGCGUAGAUAUCAGACAGAACACCGAUGGCGAAGGCAGCUUACCAAGCCACAUCUGACGUUGAGGCACGAAAGCGUGGGGAGCAAACAGGAUUAGAUACCCCAGUAGUC
rnacentral:rRNA from 1 species